UACGGAGGGUGCAAGCGUUAAUCGGAAUUACUGGGCGUAAAGCGUGCGCAGGCGGUUUCUUAAGUCAGAUGUGAAAGCCCCGGGCUUAACCUGGGAACUGCGUUUGAAACUGGGAGACUUGAGUGUGGCAGAGGGGGGUGGAAUUCCACGUGUAGCAGUGAAAUGCGUAGAUAUGUGGAGGAACACCGAUGGCGAAGGCAGCCCCCUGGGUUAACACUGACGCUCAUGCACGAAAGCGUGGGGAGCAAACAGG
rnacentral:rRNA from 1 species